rnacentral:rRNA from 1 species
CCUACGGGGGGCAGCAGUGAGGAAUAUUGGUCAAUGGCCGGAAGGCUGAACCAGCCAAGCCGCGUGAAGGACGAAGGUGCCAAGCAUUGUAAACUUCUUUUGUCAAGGGACAAAAUCAGGCUCGAGAGCCUGACCGAGGGUACUUGAAGAAAAAGCAUCGGCUAACUCCGUGCCAGCAGCCGCGGUAAUACGGAGGAUGCGAGCGUUAUCCGGAUUUAUUGGGUUUAAAGGGUGCGUAGGCGGGCUGUUAAGUCAGCGGUAAAAGCCCGGGGCUCAACCCCGGCGAGCCGUUGAAACUGGCUGUCGUGAGAUGGCGAGAGGUAUGCGGAAUGCGCAGUGUAGCGGUGAAAUGCUUAGAUAUUGCGCAGAACUCCGAUUGCGAAGGCAGCAUACCGGCGGCGGUCUGACGCUGAGGCACGAAAGCGUGGGUAUCGAACAGGAUUAGAUACCCUUGUAGUC